CCUACGGGAGGCUGCAGUGGGGAAUAUUGCACAAUGGGGGAAACCCUGAUCCAGCGACGCCGCGUGAGUGAAGAAGUAUCUCCGUAUGUAAAGCUCCAUCAGCAGGGAAGCAAAUGCCGGUACCUGAUUCAGAAGCCCCGGAUAACUAAGUGCCAGCAGCCGGGGUAAUCCGUAGGGGGCAAGCGUUAUCCGGAUUUACUGGGUGUAAAGGGAGCGUAGACGGGAGUACAAGUCUGGAGUGAACUGCCGGGGCUUAACCCCGGAACUGCUGUGGAAACUGGGCAGCUAGAGUGCAGGUGAGGUAAGUGGAAUGCGUGGUGUAGCGGUGAAAUGCGUAGAUAUUAGGAGGAACACCAGUGGCGAAGGCGGCUUACUGGACUGUAACUGACGUUGAGGCUCGAAAGCGUGGGGAGCGAACAGGAUUAGAUACCCCUGUAGUC
rnacentral:rRNA from 1 species